rnacentral:rRNA from 1 species
UGCCGCGUGUGUGAAGAAGGCCUUCGGGUUGUAAAGCACUUUCAGUUGUGAGGAAAAGUUAGUAGUUAAUACCUGCUAGCCGUGACGUUAACAACAGAAGAAGCACCGGCUAACUCCGUGCCAGCAGCCGCGGUAAUACGGAGGGUGCGAGCGUUAAUCGGAAUUACUGGGCGUAAAGCGCACGCAGGCGGUUUGUUAAGCUAGAUGUGAAAGCCCCGGGCUCAACCUGGGAUGGUCAUUUAGAACUGGCAGACUAGAGUCUUGGAGAGGGGAGUGGAAUUCCAGGUGUAGCGGUGAAAUGCGUAGAUAUCUGGAGGAACAUCAGUGGCGAAGGCGACUCCCUGGCCAAAGACUGACGCUCAUGUGCGAAAGUGUGGGUAGCGAACAGGAUUAGAUACCCUGGUAGUCCACACCGUAAACGCUGUCUACUAGCUGUGUGUGUCUUUAAGACGUGCGUAGCGAAGCUAACGCGCUAAGUAGACCGCCUGGGGAGUACGGCCGCAAGGUUAAAACU